AAAAAAUUAUGCAAAGCUAAGUAGAAAACGGGGUUGAGCAGUCUUUGUUACACAAGUCUUUCAAACCUUCCAGCACACUGGAACGAGGAAGGAUGAGGUCACCUCUGCAGGGCUUUGCUCCUGUAGUUUCCACUCUUCCGUAUGAUCAGAAAAUGUCUUCCAUGUGUGAUUAUAGCAUCUGGUCUCACUCAGUGACAUCACAUGCCCUUGAGGGACUGACUCUGUUUUCAGAGGAGUAACCACGGCUGGUGUUGUCUCCCUCCCUGCUGGUGACGCUGAACCAAUCAAACUCAGUAGAGAGCAGUGCCUGAGAUACCUCUGAAUGCAGCAUCUUGACAUCUGAGAAAACAACAGAUCCAGAACACCAUCAUUGUGCCCGUGAACCAGGUCGCAAAGUGUUCAUUCUAGAAGUGACCAUGUGGACAGGGAUCUCCUUAUCCCCGAAGACCCAGAGACGCCAAGCAAAACCUGAACAAACUGCUCUGGCGCCAUCCUCAUCUGUGAUGGCUGCCCUUGUUCAGCUUUAUUUUCCCGUGAUAGACACUUCUCAUCAAAUAGCACAUAAAUAAACACAGGCUUCCGGG